AACGGGAAACGUCAAGAUUAGUUUGAUGUUUCUUUCGUAGAUGAGCCAGGUGCCGAGUUCCAAGCAUAACCUUAGCUAGCUAGCUAGCUAGCUACCAAGACAGAACAAUAUUAUGACCAUGGGUUGGCUUUUGCCCUUCUGAAACGUUUUAUCCUCAUUUUUCCGUUAGCGUUCGUGAAUUACUUCCUCCUGUGUAACGUUUUCCUCAGUUUGAUUUUCUUUCUUCCAUAUACCACCAUUACUUCUUCCUCAGUCGAACCAAGUGAUGCACGCGUUCUUAUCCUUCAUUAUUGCAACACCGGUGGCAGAAUUCUUCAAUUUGAGUUCUUCUUUGAACCACAACUUAUUUCUAUCGACGCAUCCAGUUCUUCUUAGGUUGGGAUUGAGAGCUUUCAUCUCCAUCAGGAUAGAUAGGCAUUUGGAGAGCUGCGCAAUUCUUCUACUUUAAGUGAGCAUGUGCAACUCUUCCAUUAGUUUUUUUUUAUAAGUAAAAUUGAAUAUAUGGGGGUACUAGGAGUACCCCAACCCUGUACAAAGAGUGGAGAAAAUACAGGGGAAAGGGAAGAAAAAAAGGAAAAUAUAAGAGAAGAACAUAACAAUCUGUUACUACUGCUAGGAAAAAAGAAAAAAGAAACAGAAUAAAACAGCCAAAAGACAAAGCCAAUGCCUCUGUCUAAUUCAGAAAAGACAGCCCCUUCCAAGCUCAAACAGCGCCUACUUCAGCUUAGCAAGUAGGUCCACCAUCUCACAAAAUCUGCUGCAGCACGCAAGCUUAUAGGUGCAGCAAAAUGAUCUCCUAAAUUAACAAAACAGCACAAAAGCACAGCUAUAGAUUUUCAGACAGUAUUCAGGUUCAGCAAUCCAUUCAUAAAAAGAAAAAGUGAAAGUUUUUGGAGCUAGCUUUCAGCCAAUUCCAAGAGCGAAGUUGAGCAAGCUCAAAAACUUUUGCAGCAUCCUUGGAACUCUUCCAUUAGUUGCUCUUAUGCCUAUUUUGUGAACUGAAUCAUUUUGAUUUCUUCGUUUAGCCAUUUGCAACUGUAAUUUUGUUUCUCUUUUGCUGCUAUUGUAGCAUUUUAAUUCAUAUCUCAAGGCUAUGCUUCUGUAUUUUGAUAUCACAGGUACUUUUCUUCAAGCGGGGAAAUAUAUGUGGGGCCUUUAGGUUGAGAUUGUUCUCAUCUGAUCAAUCACUUGGAGGUCAGCAACACUAUCUCUAACUACUGAAUUAGUAUUAAAUAAAAGAGGCAUUAUUAUUGAAAUGUUGCAGAAAACAACAUUUUUAUUGCUAUUUUGAGUUUUUGACAUCUUAGUGUAUAUUAGAAAAUGUUUGUAUGACCUACACGACUACACCAGUAUAAGUACACUUAUUGAAAGCUAGAAAACAAUGAUUCGAGGUUGGCCUCAGCUACAUAAAGGGAUUUGAAAGGAAAGCAUGCAAGUACUAUUGUCUUUCUCCAUUGAUUAAAGGUGUUUGGCAGUCUGAUGAAAAGUAUACGCACAAUGGCAGUAACCGCAAGAUUGUUACUCCUGAUCUGGAGGGAAUUAUCUUUCAGCACUUUAUAAAUAAGAUAAAGGUCAUCACGGAAGAAGAGAUUUUGUGUUCGUAGGGGUGACAAAGUUCUGAAAAGCAUUCUUCUAUGGCAUAUUGCAACAUAUCUAUGUUAUAACCCUGUCUCAUGUGAAGAGGAAACAUAUAGCGAAAGGGGUUUAAGUUUUAGAGAAGGAAGAAAAUUGUUAUUAGAGUACAUGUUGUAUCUUAUUGUUAUGAGAACAUCCAUGCUGCCUAAUGAGAUUGGUGAGUAUGUGUCUCCAUUAGUUGGAUA